GACGAACGCUGGCGGCGUGCUUAACACAUGCAAGUCGAACGGAAAGGCCCUGCUUGUGUUUUUUGCUCUAGUGUCGAACGGGUGAGUAACACGUGAGUAGCCUGCCCCUUACGGUGGGAUAACUUCAGGAGACGGGGGCUGAUACCGAAUACGAUCUCCAGCUUCAGAGUGGGGGUUGGAAAGUUUCGGCGGGUUGGGAUGGACUCGCGGCGUAUCAGGUUGUUGGUGGGGUAGUGGCUUACCAAGUCUUUGACGGGUAGCCGGCCUGGGAGGGUGACCGGCCAGAUUGGGACUGAGAUACGGCCCAGACUCCUCCGGGAGGCAGCAGUGGGGAAUAUUGCACAAUGGGAGGAAGCCUAAUGCAGCACAGCCGCGUGCGGGAUGACGGCAUUGGGGUUGUAACCCGCUUUCGCCUGUGAUGAAGAGUGAGUGACGGUAAUGGGUAAAGAAGCCCCGGCUAACUACGUG
rnacentral:rRNA from 1 species